GAUGCAGCCAUGCCGCGUGUAUGAAGAAGGCCUUCGGGUUGUAAAGUACUUUCAGCGGGGAGGAAGGGAGUAAAGUUAAUACCUUUGCUCAUUGACGUUACCCGCAGAAGAAGCACCGGCUAACUCCGUGCCAGCAGCCGCGGUAAUACGGAGGGUGCAAGCGUUAAUCGGAAUUACUGGGCGUAAAGCGCACGCAGGCGGUUUGUUAAGUCAGAUGUGAAAUCCCCGGGCUCAACCUGGGAACUGCAUCUGAUACUGGCAAGCUUGAGUCUCGUAGAGGGGGGUAGAAUUCCAGGUGUAGCGGUGAAAUGCGUAGAGAUCUGGAGGAAUACCGGUGGCGAAGGCGGCCCCCUGGACGAAGACUGACGCUCAGGUGCGAAAGCGUGGGGAGCAAACAGGAUU
rnacentral:rRNA from 1 species